rnacentral:lncRNA from 1 species
GUGGCCAGGACCCCGUGACCAGCCAGGCUGAGUUCGCCUCCCAGCAUGGCCAGGCACUUCCUCCCUGAACCUCGGUGUCCUCCUCUGUAGAGUGGGGAGCAGCCCCUCUCCUGGGGCCAGCAAGACGUAAAAGAUACACAGCCAGGAACCCUCUCAGAACACUCCUGCUCCCUUGGAAAACACUUAGCCCGUCAUUCUUGCCUGCUUCCUGCAGCAGCUCUGAAAGUCCUCUUUUGCACCUGCACACCCACGCUGUGGGCUGCCCUGCUGAGUCCGGGGAUCCAAGCAAAGGUGGGCCAGACCCCUGGACUCAGCCCUUCUCCCUGCCCGGCGCCCAGGAUCUCAGGGCUCAGACCCUCCAGCAAGCUCCCUGCUGCUCCCAGGGGAACAAGAACCCAAGCGCUGUCUGUCCUUGCGGAGGUGAAUGGACAGCACUCUUUUCACUCGGGAGGGAAACUGAGGCAGGGGUUAUUUUCUGACUGGCAUGCAUUCACCUUGGGCCUGUCUAAGCUGGGCCCUCUGCUCAGUGCUGGCAUGGGAUUGGGUACAGGGCAGAGCAAGGCUCUGGAACUCACAGGACUUUGUUACUGCUGUGCCCUCCACAGAGACCAGUGCCCAGUGUCUCCCAUUGGCCAGAUCAAAACAUAAACCCACAAACAUCCCGGGCCUUUGACUCAGCUGGCAGAGGCAAUGGGAGCCUGGUGACAGCGGCAGAAGAGCACAGGGUGGGGUCCACCGUUUGGGCAGAGGCUGUGUGCUCAGCGAUGUGGAGAACAAGGACUGCACAGCCCAAAAUGUCCAGACAGGGUCCCUCAGAGCCAGGGCCCCUGUGGGGAGCAGCAGAC